rnacentral:misc_RNA from 1 species
GUAUUGUAUUGCGUUAAACGCGGCGUACAUUCCACAAGACUUCGUUCACGUAUGUGUGUGUGUGUAAAGACGUAGAACCACAGAAGGGAGGCGGAGCCUCCGGACCACAGAACUACAAAAGGUGCACAGGGGUGGGUGGAUGUGUAAACAGAGCGUGCACGUGCCCCCUUUUGAAGGCCAGCAACAACUCGUGUCAACAAUUCGAUAAUGAUCCUUCCGCAGGUUCACCUACGGAAA